rnacentral:rRNA from 1 species
UACGUAGGUGGCAAGCGUUGUCCGGAAUUAUUGGGCGUAAAGCGCGCGCAGGCGGCCUUUUAAGUCUGAUGUGAAAGCCCACGGCUCAACCGUGGAAGGUCAUUGGAAACUGAAAGGCUUGAGUACAGAAGAGGAGAGCGGAAUUCCACGUGUAGCGGUGAAAUGCGUAGAGAUGUGGAGGAACACCAGUGGCGAAGGCGGCUUUCUGGUCUGUAACUGACGCUGAGGCGCGAAAGCGUGGGGAGCAAACAGG